GGUGUUAAUGUGCUGACGUCUUGUUGCUGUUGUUGUUGUUGUUGUUGUCAACAAAGUGAGGCAAUUAGAGCAGCAGCAUGCCAGUAAUGACUGCGGUACGGAGGGAGCGCACGAGGCCAGGGCGACACCCGGCGUGAGAAACAGCACGCGCCCCUGCUCUGUGUCCCACCUCGCAGGAACGAGGCUCGCGCUCUAAUGAGAGGGAUUUAAUGGAUUUAUAGCGGUGGAGGAUUCCUGUGUGUCCGCAGGCUCUUGGCUUCGCCGACUAGAAACGUCUGUAAUAAUUGGCAGUGUGAUGGCGCUGCAGCAGAAAGAGAAAGAUCUGGGUGACCAUCUGAAACCAAUUAUGGCUGCGCUGCAGCCACCCAGAAACUCAGUGACGGAUGGGGAUCUUGUAUUUAUAGCUGGGACAAAUGGAGGAUUAACACUGCACAGCAUUAACCUUUCCUCUAAUCACUGGCAGCAGCAGCAGGCCCUCCAUGCACUGUCACAUCUCUCCAGUCGCAGUAAUGCUGGCCUUUCCAUAAUGGCUUAUUCCCAAUUAAAUCUCAAUGGGAAUGUUUGACUUUCCAGUGAUGCAAGAGCCGACUCAAGUGGACAUGUCAGCAACAAUGGCUGCCAUGGUUGCGCCCAACAUUAAGAGGACACAUUAACUGAUUACAUCUUCUUCUUCCUCACAAAACAAUCGAGACGCCAAGGAUGUUAAUACUAUGUAAAAGGCAAAAAUCAAUAACUAAAGUUAAUAAAAUAUUGAUUAAUUAUUAAUUUAUCUAAUCCCUACCCUUUGGAAUAUUACAAAAUACAAAGAAUUGGUGACUCAUAAUGACUGCUGAGGAUCUAUCAGUAAUGCUUGAUGUCAGGAUUUUGUUAUUGUCCUAUAAUUAUAAUAAUUUUCUCUUGGUGUAACUCUCUAUUUCACUCUCCUCCCUGUCUCCACCCUUCCCUCAUUUUUUAUUUUUCUUCUUCUUUUGUUUUCUUCUGUAUAUUUGAGUAUCUACAACAGCAGCUAGUAUACUUAACUCUGUCACUCACUAUCAUUAUUGAGUUGGUGGUCCCACAUAGUACAAAUUUUACACAGCUAUUGAGACAGAAUGAGCCUUACUGCUGUAUCACUUGAUGUUUUUUUGAGUUGAUAGACCACAACAUUCCCACACUAAAAAAAAUCUCAAAUCCUUAGAAAGUCAUUUUAGCACCAAACUAGCUGCUUCUUUUUGUAUUAUGUGAUCCAAGAUGUCUUUAAGUCUUAAAGGUGCAGUGUGUAGGAUUUCUUGGGCAUCUAGCGGUGAGGUUGCAAAUUGCAACCAACCUUCCAAGCAUGUAGGAGAACCUGGCUGGUGGCCAUGAAACCUGUGAAAAACAUGAAAGGCCCUCUCUGGAGCCAGUGUUUG